rnacentral:rRNA from 1 species
AUUGAACGCUAGCGGCAGGCUUAACACAUGCAAGUCGAGCGAGUGGCGGACGGGUGAGUAAUAUCUGGGAACCUGCCUGAUGGCGGGGGAUAACUACUGGAAACGGUAGCUAAUACCGCAUACUAUCAGAUGUGCCCAGAUGGGAUUAGCUAGUAGGUGGGGUAAAGGCUCACCUAGGCGACGAUCCCUAGCUGGUCUGAGAGGAUGACCAGCCACACUGGAACUGAGACACGGCCCAGACUCCUACGGGAGGCAGCAGUGGGGAAUUUUGCACAAUGGGGGCAACCCUGAUGCAGCCAUGCCGCGUGUGUGAUGAAGGCCUUCGGGUUGUAAAGUACUUUUAGCGGGGAAGCGGUACCCGCAGAAUAAGCACCGGCUAACUCCGUGCCAGCAGCCGCGGUAAUUC